CAGAAAAUAGUUUAAAAAAAAUAUUAAUUUUGGAGAUUAAUGAUAAAGGCAUUCUUUUUUUCUGA
rnacentral:tRNA from 1 species